GAUGAACGCUGGCGGCGUGCCUAAUACAUGCAAGUCGAGCGAACAGACGAGGAGCUUGCUCCUCUGACGUUAGCGGCGGACGGGUGAGUAACACGUGGAUAACCUACCUAUAAGACUGGGAUAACUUCGGGAAACCGGAGCUAAUACCGGAUAAUAUAUUGAACCGCAUGGUUCAAUAGUGAAAUACGGUUUUGCUGUCACUUAUAGAUGGAUCCGCGCCGCAUUAGCUAGUUGGUAAGGUAACGGCUUACCAAGGCAACGAUGCGUAGCCGACCUGAGAGGGUGAUCGGCCACACUGGAAGUGAGACACGGUAAAGAGUCCGACGGGAGGAAGCAGUAGGGAAUAGUCCGCAAUGGGCGAAAGCAUGACGGAGCAACGCCGCGUGAGUGAUGAAGGUCUUCGGAUCGUAAAACUCUGUUAUUAGGGAAGAACAAAUGUGUAAGUAACUAUGCACGUCUUGACGGUACCUAAUCAGAAAGCAACGGCUAACUACGUG
rnacentral:rRNA from 1 species